CACGUAGGCCCCGAGCGUUGUUCGGAAUUAUUGGGCGUAGGGGGCGCGCAGGCGGCCCUGCAAGUCUGGAGUGAAAUCCCCGGGCCCAACCCGGGAACUGCUUUGGAAACUGCGGGGCUGGAGUCGCCGAAGGGAAGCCGGAAUUCCUGGUGUAGGGGUGAAGUCUGUAGAUAUCAGGAAGAACACCGAUGGCGAAGGCAGGCUUCCGGCGGACGACUGACGCUGAGGCGCGAAGGCGCGGGGAGCAAAC
rnacentral:rRNA from 1 species